rnacentral:rRNA from 1 species
GAACGGCAGCACAGGAGAGCUUGCUCUCUGGGUGGCGAGUGGCGGACGGGUGAGGAAUACAUCGGAAUCUACUCUGUCGUGGGGGAUAACGUAGGGAAACUUACGCUAAUACCGCAUACGACCUACGGGUGAAAGCAGGGGAUCUUCGGACCUUGCGCGAUUGAAUGAGCCGAUGUCGGAUUAGCUAGUUGGCGGGGUAAAGGCCCACCAAGGCGACGAUCCGUAGCUGGUCUGAGAGGAUGAUCAGCCACACUGGAACUGAGACACGGUCCAGACUCCUACGGGAGGCAGCAGUGGGGAAUAUUGGACAAUGGGCGCAAGCCUGAUCCAGCCAUACCGCGUGGGUGAAGAAGGCCUUCGGGUUGUAAAGCCCUUUUGUUGGGAAAGAAAUCCAGCUGGCUAAUACCUGGUUGGGAUGACGGUACCCAAAGAAUAAGCACCGGCUAACUUCGUGCCAGCAGCCGCGGUAAUACGAAGGGUGCAAGCGUUACUCGGAAUUACUGGGCGUAAAGCGUGCGUAGGUGGUCGUUUAAGUCCGUUGUGAAAGCCCUGGGCUCAACCUGGGAACUGCAGUGGAUACUGGGCGACUAGAGUGUGGUAGAGGGUAGCGGAAUUCCUGGUGUAGCAGUGAAAUGCGUAGAGAUCAGGAGGAACAUCCAUGGCGAAGGCAGCUAC